AUUGAACGCUGGCGGCAGGCCUAACACAUGCAAGUCGAACGAGUGGCGGACGGGUGAGUAAUGUCUGGGAAACUGCCCGAUGGAGGGGGAUAACUACUUGAAACGGUAGCUAAUACCGCAUACCAUCUUAUUUGCCCAGAUGGGAUUAGCUCGUGGGUGGGGUAAUGGCUCACCUAGGCGACGAUCCCUAGCUGGUCUGAGAGAAUGACCAGCCACACUGGAACUGAACCACGGUCCAGACUCCUACGGGAGGCAGAAGUGGGGAAUAUUGGACAAGGGGCGCAAGCCUGAGGCAGCCAGGCCGCGUGUAUGAAGAAGGCCUUCGGGUGGUAAAGUACUUUCAGCGAGGAGGCGUUACUCGAAGAAGAAGCACCGGCUAACUCCGUGCCAGCAGCCGCGGUAAUUC
rnacentral:rRNA from 1 species